ensembl:lncRNA
GUUCCGAAGUGAGGUAAACUUCAACAGAUUUCCCCUGCUCAGGGAGUAGGGAGCAAUGAACACGGUGUAGGAACCAUGUCAAUGGGAACACAGUUCAUGCACGGAGCUCACUUCUGACGAGCUGAUUAUCUGAAUCAGAAAGCACAUCUUCACUUCUGAACUGCUGAAGUGUUAAAUGUUCCAGAGUCAAGACAGAGAGAUGAAAAGUUAAACAACACUCAACAAAACAUCCACGGAAGAGGGAACGAAAGGGUCUCAAUCUUUCACCUUGUCAAUAUUUUACAAGUAAACAGUGACAAACAAGAAGUGACUUCCAUUCAGAGCUUGGCCGCCUCCCCAGAAAACAUUGCUUCUUUAGAAAUGCUGAUUCAACCUUUUCACGGCUUCCUUAUUUUCCUCCAGUGAUGCAGCAUCAAGAUGAAGCCAGAAAUGGAAACUGAAAAUAGGUGUGAUUAAACGCUUUAUUUGUUUCUUUCUCUGAUCAAUUGCAGGCCUUUAGGAAACCUGUUUGGUAACAGAAACAACGCA